ACUCAAAUGAAUUGACGGGGGCCCGCACAAGCGGUGGAGCAUGUGGCUUAAUUCGAUGCAACGCGAAGAACCUUACCUGGCCUUGACAUGCUGGUGGUAGAACCCAGAAACGGGGACGACCUCUCGCAAGAGAGGAGCCAGCACAGGUGCUGCAUGGUUGUCGUCAGCUCGUGUCGUGAGAUGUUGGCUUAAGUGCCGCAACGAGCGCAACCCUUGUGUUUAGUUGCCCGCGCAAGCGGGAUCUCUAAACAGACUGCCUGGCUUUAAACCAGGAGGAAGGUGGGGAUGACGUCAAAUCAGUAUGGCCCUUACGGCCAGGGCUGCACACGUGCUACAAUGCUCGGUACAGAGGGAUGCAAGACCGCGAGGUGGAGCAAAUCCCGCAAAACCGAGCCCAGUUCAGAUUGGAGGCUGCAACUCGCCUCCAUGAAGCCGGAAUCGCUAGUAAUGGCGCAUCAGCUACGGCGCCGUGAAUACGUUCCCGGGCCUUGUACACACCGCCCGU
rnacentral:rRNA from 1 species